UAAACCUGUAUUUCCUCUUUCAGGUUGAAAAUCAUUGUAAAUCUUAAAUCACAAUGUCGGGUCAGGAAAGUAAUAAUGACGGGGCCUCAGGCUUUUCGCAUCCGGAUCAAGAUCGUAAUAAUGACGGGGCUUCAGGGUUUUCAAAUCCGGAUCAAGAUAGUGAUAGUGA